rnacentral:rRNA from 1 species
AAAUUGAAGAGUUUGAUCAUGGCUCAGAUUGAACGCUGGCGGCAGGCCUAACACAUGCAAGUCGAACGGUAACAGGAAACAGCUUGCUGUUUCGCUGACGAGUGGCGGACGGGUGAGUAAUGUCUGGGAAACUGCCCGAUGGAGGGGGAUAACUACUGGAAACGGUAGCUAAUACCGCAUAACGUCGCAAGACCAAAGAGGGGGACCUUCGGGCCUCUUGCCAUCGGAUGU